rnacentral:rRNA from 1 species
CGUGGGUGAUCUAGCCUUUAGUGAGGGAUACCGGCGAGAAAUCGCCGACAAUACCGCAUAUGCUUUUUUCAUCAUCGGAAGAAGCAAAGCUCGUAAGGGCGCUAGAGGAUGAGCCUGCGUCCGAUUAGCUGGUUGGUGGGGUAACGGCCUACCAAGGCGACGAUCGGUAGCUGGUCUGAGAGGACGAUCAGCCACACUGGGAUUGAGAACGGCCCAG